AGAGUUUGUUCCUGGCUCAGGACGAACGCUGGCGGCGUGCCUAAUACAUGCAAGUAGAACGCUGAAGAGAGGAGCUUGCUCUUCUUGGAUGAGUUGCGAACGGGUGAGUAACGCGUAGGUAACCUGCCUUGUAGCGGGGGAUAACUAUUGGAAACGAUAGCUAAUACCGCAUAACAAUGGAUGACCCAUGUCAUUUAUUUGAAAGGGGCAAAUGCUCCACUACAAGAUGGACCUGCGUUGUAUUAGCUAGUAGGUGAGGUAACGGCUCACCUAGGCGACGAUACAUAGCCGACCUGAGAGGGUGAUCGGCCACACUGGGACUGAGACACGGCCCAGACUCCUACGGGAGGCAGCAGUAGGGAAUCUUCGGCAAUGGGGGCAACCCUGACCGAGCAACGCCGCGUGAGUGAAGAAGGUUUUCGGAUCGUAAAGCUCUGUUGUAAGUCAAGAACGAGUGUGAGAGUGGAAAGUUCACACUGUGACGGUAGCUUACCAGAAAGGGACGGCUAACUACGUGCCAGCAGCCGCGGUAAUACGUAGGUCCCGAGCGUUGUCCGGAUUUAUUGGGCGUAAAGCGAGCGCAGGCGGUUUGAUAAGUCUGAAGUUAAAGGCUGUGGCUCAACCAUAGUUCGCUUUGGAAACUGUCAAACUUGAGUGCAGAAGGGGAGAGUGGAAUUCCAUGUGUAGCGGUGAAAUGCGUAGAUAUAUGGAGGAACACCGGUGGCGAAAGCGGCUCUCUGGUCUGUAACUGACGCUGAGGCUCGAAAGCGUGGGGAGCGAACAGGAUUAGAUACCCUGGUAGUCCACGCCGUAAACGAUGAGUGCUAGGUGUUGGAUCCUUUCCGGGAUUCAGUGCCGCAGCUAACGCAUUAAGCACUCCGCCUGGGGAGUACGACCGCAAGGUUGAAACUCAAAGGAAUUGACGGGGGCCCGCACAAGCGGUGGAGCAUGUGGUUUAAUUCGAAGCAACGCGAAGAACCUUACCAGGUCUUGACAUCCCGAUGCUAUUUCUAGAGAUAGAAAGUUACUUCGGUACAUCGGUGACAGGUGGUGCAUGGUUGUCGUCAGCUCGUGUCGUGAGAUGUUGGGUUAAGUCCCGCAACGAGCGCAACCCCUAUUGUUAGUUGCCAUCAUUCAGUUGGGCACUCUAGCGAGACUGCCGGUAAUAAACCGGAGGAAGGUUGGGAUGACGUCAAAUCAUCAUGCCCUUUAUGACUUGGGCUACACACGUACUACAAUGGCGUUAAACAAAGAGAAGCAAGACCGCGAGGUGGAGCAAAACUCAGAAACAACGUCCCAGUUCGGACUGCAGGCUGCAACUCGCCUGCACGAAGUCGGAAUUGCUAGUAAUCGUGGAUCAGCAUGCCACGGUGAAUACGUUACCGGGCCUUGUACUCACCGCCCGUCA
rnacentral:rRNA from 1 species